rnacentral:rRNA from 1 species
GACGAACGCUGGCGGCGUGCUUAACACACGCAAGUCGAACGGAAAGGCCCUGCUUUUGUGGGGUGCUCGAGUGGCGAACGGGUGAGUAACACGUGAGUAACCUGCCCUUGCCUUUGGGAUAACUUCAGGAAACUGGGGCUCAUACCGGAUAGGAGCUCCUGCUGCAUGGUGGGGGUUGGAAAGAUUCGGCGGUUGGGGAUGGACUCGCGGCUUAUCAGCUUGUUGGUGGGGUAGUGGCUUACCAAGGCUUUGACGGGUAGCCGGCCUGAGAGGGUGACCGGGCACAUUGGGACUGAGAUACGGGCCAGACUCCUGCGGGAGGCAGCAGUGGGGAAUAUUGCACAAUGGGCGGAAGCCGGAUGCAGCAACGCCGCGUGCGGGAUUACGGCCUUCGGGUUGUAAACCGCUUUCGCCUGUGAGGAAGCGUGAGUGACGGUAAUGGGUAAAGAAGCACCGGCUAACUACGUG